rnacentral:rRNA from 1 species
AGUGAACGCUGGCGGUAGGCCUAACACAUGCAAGUCGAACGGCAGCACAGUAAGAGCUUGCUCUUACGGGUGGCGAGUGGCGGACGGGUGAGGUAUACAUCGGAAUCUACUUUUUCGUGGGGGAUAACGUAGGGAAACUUACGCUAAUACCGCAUACGACCUACGGGUGAAAGCAGGGGAUCUUCGGACCUUGCGCGAUUGAAUGAGCCGAUGUCGGAUUAGCUAGUUGGCGGGGUAAAGGCCCACCCAGGCGACGAUCCGUAGCUGGUCUGAGAGGAUGAUCAGCCACACUGGAACGGAGACACGGUCCAGACGCCUACGGGAGGCAGCAGUGGGGAAUAUUGGACAAUGGGCGCAAGCCUGGUCCAGCCAUACCGCGUGGGUGAAGAAGGCCUUCGGGUUGUAAAGCCCUUUUGUUGGGAAAGAAAAGCAGCAGGUUAAUACCCCGCGGUUCUGACGGUACCCAAAGAAUAAGCACCGGCUAACUUCGUG